GGGGGAUGGAGACCGAGGAAUAACCCAAUUCUGCUUCUGCCAGGCCAGCAACUGCGGAGAGGACUAGUGGGUAAAGGUGUUCUCUACCAGAAAGAGGAAGUACGCCCAGAAAGAGGAAAACCUGAGAUCAAGGACAUGGGAAUUUACACAUGAGACAGGUGAAAAUCAUUCCUAGGAUGAUGUCAAAGAGAAGUCCCAGGACAUCAGCUAUGUAAGUGGUCCAGAGAGCAACCAGUCCAGACUAACAGGCACAAGGUAGGUUCCAGAGGAUGUCACUAAGCAAAAAACAAACAAACAAAAAAUGG
rnacentral:lncRNA from 1 species